GUAUUUAUUUUGAUGUAUUUAACUUCAACUCUGCAGGAGGAGAUCCAACUACUGCAACAAUUAAAUUACAUCCAAAUUAGUCGCAGUUUCAACUGUAACAGUUGAAGAGAGCAAUUUUAAACACUUUAAUUAUUUUUAAAUAAAAAAAUAUAUUGAAGAUAAUCUUAUAAUCAUAUAUAUAAAAUGAUAGAAUUUUAAAAAUUAUUUCUCAACUGUAUGCAACGAAACAAAUUAUUUAUAAUUACAGCACUUUCUACUGCAUGUAACUAAACAAGAUGGAUGUAGUUACAACUGCUGUAUUUUUAACUACAUACAUUUUCCACUAUACUGUAUUUAUAAUUACGACUUGUACUCGUGGACAUAAUAAC
rnacentral:lncRNA from 1 species